rnacentral:rRNA from 1 species
UGGUUUACGGAGAAGGAACUCGGCAAAAUGACCCCGUAACUUCGGGAUAAGGGGUGCCGGCAGUAUGUGACCCGUCAAGGGGAGCAGAGACCGGCCGCAGUGAAUCGUCCCAAGCGACUGUUUAGCAAAACACAGGUGUCUGCAAAGGCGUUUUCCAAGCCGACGUAUAGACACUGACGCCUGCCCGGUGCCGGAAGGUUAAGGUAAGUGGUCAGCCGCAAGGCGAAGCUACGAACCGAAGCCCCGGUAAACGGCGGCCGUAACAAUAACGGUCCUAAGGUAGCGAAAUUCCUUGUCGGGUAAGUUCCGACCUGCAUGAAUGGCGUAACGACUUGGGAGCUGUCUCCUCCGUAAGCUCGGCGAAAUAGCAGCAUCGGUGAGGAUUCCGAUUACCCGCGACAGGACAAAAAGACCCCAUGCACCUUUACUACAACCUGUCAUUGAUCGUCGAUAUACACUGCGUAGCAUAGGUGGGAGCCGUUGAGACCCGGUUUUCGGAUCGGGUGGAGGCAACAGUGAAAUACCACCCUUUGUUUAUUAACGAUCUCACUCGGCCGGCAACACCGGCGAGGACCGUGGCUGGUGGGUAGUUUGACUGGGGCGGUCGCCUCCCAAAAAGUACCGGAGGCGCGCGAUGGUGGGCUCAGUGCGGUCGGUAAUCGCACGUUGAGUGUAUACGCAAAAGCCCGCCUGACUGCGAGCGCGACGGCGCGAGCAGGGACGAAAGUCGGCGUAAGUGAUCCGGUGAUCCCGUAUGGAUGGGUCAUCGCUCAUCGGAUAAAAGGUACGCUGGGGAUAACAGGCUUAUCGCGCCCGAGAGUUCACAUCGACGGCGCGGUUUGGCACCUCGAUGUCGGCUUGUCACAUCCUGGGGCUGGAGAAGGUCCCAAGGGUCCGGCUGUUCGCCGGUUAAAGUGGCACAUGAGCUGGGUUCAGAACGUCGUGAGACAGUUCGGUCUGUAUCCGUCGUGGGCGUGGGAACGUUGAGGGAUCAGGACUCUAGUACGAGAGGACCGAGUCGUAGUGACCUCCCGUGUACGGGCUGUUCCGCCAGGGGCAGCGCCCGGUAGCGAUGUCACGCAGGGAUAACCGCUGAAAGCAUCUAAGUGGGAAACCCGUCCCAAGAUGAACGUUCCUGGAGCUUAAGCUCCCUUAAGGGCCCUGGGAGACUACCAGGUUGAUAGGCCGCAGGUGCACGGCGCGCGAGCGCUUCAGCCGAGCGGUACUAAUCGCCCGUGAAGUU